rnacentral:rRNA from 1 species
UACAGAGGGUGCAAGCGUUAAUCGGAAUUACUGGGCGUAAAGCGCGCGUAGGCGGUUGUGUAAGUUGGAUGUGAAAUCCCCGGGCUUAACCUGGGAAUGGCAUUCAAAACUGCACGGCUAGAGUGUGGGAGAGGAAGGUAGAAUUCCAGGUGUAGCGGUGAAAUGCGUAGAGAUCUGGAGGAAUACCGAUGGCGAAGGCGGCUCUCUGGUACGGAACUGACGCUGAGACGCGAAAGCGUGGGGAGCGAACAGG